rnacentral:rRNA from 1 species
AGUCGAACGAGAAAGCGGGGGCAACCUCGCGAGUAAAGUGGCGUACGGGUGAGUAACACGUGGGUAAUCUACCCUUUAGUGGGGAAUAACGCUGGGAAACCGGCGCUAAUACCGCAUAAUCCCGAGAGGGGAAAGUCGCAAGACGCUGAAGGAGGAGCCCGCGGCCGAUUAGCCAGUUGGUAGGGUAAUGGCCUACCAAAGCAAAGAUCGGUAGCCGGCCUGAGAGGACACACGGCCACACUGGCACUGAAACACGGGUCAGACUCCUACGGGAGGCAGCAGUGGGGAAUCUUGCACAAUGGGGGAAACCCUGAUGCAGCGACGCCGCGUGAGCGAUGAAGCCCUUCGGGGUGUAAAGCUCUUUCGGCAGGGACGAUAAUGACGGUACCUGCAGAAGCAGCUGCGGCUAACUACGUGCCAGCAGCCGCGGUAAUACGUAGGCAGCGAGCGUUGUUCGGAGUUACUGGGCGUAAAGGGUGUGUAGGCGGUUCUCUAAGUUUGGUGUGAAAUCUCCCGGCUCAACCGGGAGGGUGCGCCGAAAACUGGAGGGCUAGAGUGCGGGAAGGGAGAGUGGAAUUCCUGGUGUAGCGGUGAAAUGCGUAGAUAUCAGGAGGAACACCGGUGGUGCAGACGGCUCUCUGGACCGCGACUGACGCUGAGACACGAAAGCGUGGGUAGCAAACAGGAUUAGAUACCCUGGUAGUCCACGCCCUAAACGAUGCAUAUUUGGUGUAGGUCAUUCAGUUGAUCUGUGCCGGAGCUAACGCGUUAAAUAUGCCGCCUGGGGAGUACAGUCGCAAGGCUGAAACUCAAAGGAAUUGAC